rnacentral:rRNA from 1 species
AAUCAACGCUGGCGGCGUGCCUCAGACAUGCAAGUCGAACGCGAAAGUUCCCUUCGGGGGGCGAGUAGAGUGGCGCACGGGUGAGUAACACGUAGGUAAUCUACCUUUGGGUGGGGAAUAACAGCCGGAAACGGCUGCUAAUACCGCAUAAUGCAGCGGCUCGACAUCGAGACAGUUGUUAAAGCGGGGGAUCGCAAGACCUCGCGCCUAAAGAGGAGCCUGCGGCGGAUUAGCUUGUUGGUGAGGUAAUGGCUCACCAAGGCAUCGAUCCGUAGCCGGCCUGAGAGGGCGGUCGGCCACACUGACACUGACAUACGGGUCAGACUCCUACGGGAGGCAGCAGUCGGGAAUUUUGGGCAA